UACGUAGGGGGCAAGCGUUGUCCGGAUUUAUUGGGCGUAAAGAGCGUGUAGGCGGCCAUACAGGUCCGUUGUGAAAACUGGAGGCUUAACCUCCAGACGUCGAUGGAAACCGUAUGGCUAGAGUCCGGAAGAGGAGAGUGGAAUUCCUGGUGUAGCGGUGAAAUGCGCAGAUAUCAGAGGAACACCAAUUGCGAAGGCAGCUCGCUGGGACGUAACUGACGCUGAGACGCGAAAGCGUGGGGAGCAAACAGG
rnacentral:rRNA from 1 species